GAUGAACGCUGGCGGCGUGCCUAAUACAUGCAAGUCGAGCGAACAGACGAGGAGCUUGCUCCUCUGACGUUAGCGGCGGACGGGUGAGUAACACGUGGAUAACCUACCUAUAAGACUGGGAUAACUUCGGGAAACCGGAGCUAAUACCGGAUAAUAUAUUGAACCGCAUGGUUCAAUAGUGAAAGACGGUUUUGCUGUCACUUAUAGAUGGAUCCGCGCCGCAUUAGCUAGUUGGUAAGGUAACGGCUUACCAAGGCAACGAUGCGUAGCCGACCUGAGAGGGGGAUCGGCCACACUGGAACUGAGACACGGACCAGACUCCUACGGGAGGCAGCAGUAGGGAAUCUUACGCAAUGGGCGAAAGCCUGACGGAGCAACGCCGCGUGAGUGAUGAAGGUCUUCGGAUCGUAAAACUCUGUUAUUAGGGAAGAACAAAUGUGUAAGUAACUAUGCACGUCUUGACGGUACCUAAUCAGAAAGCCACGGCUAACUACGUG
rnacentral:rRNA from 1 species